UACGAAGGGGGCUAGCGUUGCUCGGAAUUACUGGGCGUAAAGCGCACGUAGGCGGCUUUCUAAGUCGGAGGUGAAAUCCUGGAGCUCAACUCCAGAACUGCCUUCGAUACUGGAGAGCUUGAGUCCGGGAGAGGUGAGUGGAACUGCGAGUGUAGAGGUGAAAUUCGUAGAUAUUCACAAGAACACCAGUGGCGAAGGCGGACUCACUGGCCC
rnacentral:rRNA from 1 species